rnacentral:rRNA from 1 species
UACGUAGGGUGCAAGCGUUAAUCGGAAUUACUGGGCGUAAAGCGUGCGCAGGCGGUUUUGUAAGACAGGUGUGAAAUCCCCGGGCUUAACCUGGGAACUGCAUUUGUGACUGCAAGGCUGGAGUGCGGCAGAGGGGGAGUGGAAUUCCGCGUGUAGCAGUGAAAUGCGUAGAUAUGCGGAGGAACACCGAUGGCGAAGGCAAUCCCCUGGGCCUGCACUGACGCUCAUGCACGAAAGCGUGGGGAGCAAACAGG